UAGAGUUUGAUCCUGGCUCAGGACAGAACCAGGGUGAGCACGAAAACUGCGAAAGCUAUGAGUGAUAAAUUGCGCAUUACGGUCUCCGUAUUGCUUCUGUUAAUUGUCGUAUGUUAAUUGAAGUCGUAACAAGGUAACCGUAAGUCGUAACAAGGUAGUCGUAGAGUUUGAUCAUGGCCCAGCCUUGACUUAAAAAAAUGGAGAAGUCGUAACAAGGUAACCGUAAGUCGUAACAAGGUAACCGUAGAGUUUGAUCAUGGCUCAGCCUUUGACUUAAAAAAAGGAAGUCGUAACAAGGUAACCGUAUGUCGUAACAAGGUAACCGUAGAGUUUGAUCCUGGCUCAGCCUAA
rnacentral:rRNA from 1 species